rnacentral:rRNA from 1 species
AACGAACGCUGGCGGCAGGCUUAACACAUGCAAGUCGAACGCGUGCAGCAAUGCACGAGUGGCGCACGGGUGAGUAACGCGUGGAUAUCUGCCCUCUGGUUCGGAAUAACCCCGGGAAACUGGGGCUAAUACCGAAUGGUUCCUACGGGAUAAAGAUUUAUCGCCAGAAGAUGAGUCCGCGUCCGAUUAGCUAGUUGGUGAGGUAACGGCUCACCAAGGCGACGAUCGGUAGCUGGUCUGAGAGGACGAUCAGCCACACUGGGACUGAGACACGGCCCAGACUCCUACGGGAGGCAGCAGUGGGGAAUAUUGGACAAUGGGGGCAACCCUGAUCCAGCCAUGCCGCGUGAGUGAUGAAGGCCUUCGGGUUG